GACGAACGCUGGCGGCGUGCUUAACACAUGCAAGUCGAACGAAGUGGCGAACGGGUGAGUAACGCGUAAUCAACCUGCCGUUCAGAGGGGGACAAAAGUUGAAAACGACUGCUAAUACAGCAUACUGAAGGGAGGGAAUGCGUCUGAUUAGCUCGUUGGAGGGGUGACGGCCCACCAAGGCGAGGAUCAGAAGCCGGGCUGAGAGGAUGAACGGCCACAAUGGGACCUAGAAACUGCCCAGACUCCUACGGGAGGCAGCAGGGGGGAAUCUUCCGAAAUGGACGAAAGUCUGACGGAGCAACGCCGCGGGAGUGAUGACGGCCUUCGGGUUGUAAAGCUCUUUUAAUCGGGACGCGGUACCGGAAUAGAAAGCCACGGCUAACUCCGUGCCAGCAGCCGCGGUAAUUC
rnacentral:rRNA from 1 species